rnacentral:lncRNA from 1 species
UUUUUUUUUUUGUUUGUUUGUUUUUUUAAUGUGAGGAGUGGAGUCAUAGCUUUUCCUUGAACUCUACCAUUUUGUCCAGCCUGGUUCAUUUUCUCAGACCUGUUUGGGAUCUAGAUAAGAGUCUUAUGAGGAUUCAGGCCCUGUAAGAGCAAGAGAGGCCCCUUUAACAAGGGAGAGCCCCAGAAAGCUGGGCCAAUGGAAAGGCGUACUGCUUCCCAGCCAGUCAUAUCUGGUGGCUGUCUUUUGGGGAUACCUCCCUCCUGGCUUCUAACUCCUGCAGUUUUGGUGCUUAUCCUUUAGCAACUCAUCACAGCUUUUGGCUCAUUCCAACUGGCACCUCUUCCUGUCACUCUCUUCCUGCAAACAACCUCCUUCUUGCCCAUGUACUUGUCAGUUGGGUCUCCUUCGCCUCAUCCUUUCCACUAAGAAAUGCCAGCCAUUCUGAUCCAGCCUGCAGGCCUCCUUCAGAGAAGCCACUUUGUUAGCUGUCCCUGAGCGACCUAUUUCUCUUUGCCCAAUCCUAGGAGCCAUGGGAUAGAUGGAGCUGGAGCUGGAAGGUGUGUAAGUAGCACAGAAUAAAACAGUGUGACUGGACAUUGGACAGCUGGCAGACUUAGGACACUAACAUGGGGCACGUUAGGGAUGCCAUUUCCACUUUUCCUGGAGGGGAGAGAGAGAUGGAGGGGUCCUUUUUGUUUUGUUUUUGAUUGUGAGCAAAUGGCCCUUCAUAAAUCCAAUUAUUGUAAUUGAGUUAAAUUUAAAACAGAUCCAGUCUGGCACAUAGUUAACAGAAUACCUAACUGUUACUGGGAGUUGCAUGGCACUUAGGCACACCCUGAAAGCAAUUUACUGAUUAUUAUUUUUUAUUUAGUUAAACCACACUUUGUAUUUCUCAUCUCACUUGACUUCUCUAGUGUCUAUAAUUGGCAUAGAUGGUAUUACCAUGGUGGUACUAUAUUAGUAUCAUACCAGCACAUCAUACUUUAUGGCAAUUAUUAUCCCAUAGAGGAAAUUAGACAGAGUCCACACAUGUGAUUAACAAGUGGAAGGGGUCAAAUACUAUGUUUGAUCCCAGUGUUCGUUCUGACUUUAGCCCACCGUCCUUUGAACAGUAUCAUUUGCAUAAUCACUUUUACCCAGCACACCUGAAAGUCAGGCUCUCAUUUGCCAGCAGUAAUGAGGGGCAGUGGCCAUUCUUGCAGCAAAGUGAAAUAGAGCCUUGGAUUCUGGAAGCCCAUAGUCUUAGGGUGGAAGGGUGGAUGUGUGUGGAAUAAUCUUUGAAGGAGGUGGGGCUGACAGCACAACCUAAGUGCUCUAUAGUUCCCUACCUCCACUUGACCCUGGCACCCAAAAAAGGCAGAACCAGUCUAUACCAGAAGCAUUCUUAUUGUGCUAUCAGGAAGAGGAAAUUCCUUGGCUAAAGGAUGGCCCCUGCCAUUUGUAUAUUGCUCAGAUAUGCAGCAGUUCAUUUUAAAACUAAAGAGGCAUAAAGGUGCGUAAAGAAUAGAGAGGGUCUAGCCUCUGGGUACCUGAUUGUGGGGAAUUGGGGAGAAUGCUGAAGGAGGGUGGGGAGAGGUGGAGCAGUUAAUGGGAGAUAUGUGUGGGAGAAGGGAGCGGAAGGGGAGAUUGAAGAGAAGAUGAAUCCCAUUUGCCAAUGAUACCACUGGCAGGACCAUGUUACAAAAGAUUAAUCUUCUCGCUGGUCUUUUCUAUUUUAGAGUGCCAUGCCUAUUCCUUUGGGAAUAGGAGUUUUCUCCACUUAUUUCCUACCAUGGAACUUCCAUUAAUUGGCUUGCCAAGGGCAGGGGUCACACUACCUCUGAUGGCAAUCAGAAGUGCUUAGUGGCUGAUGGAGUAAGCUGCUUACUUCAGACAGAUGGAACAGCAGUGGGAAUGUGUACUCUAUUUCAUGGCAGUCAUGUGAAUGCUUUAUUUUUCUUGGUCACUGAACUCGCGUAUGACUGUAGAGAAGGUGACAAGAAAGUGUGAAAAGAUGCUAAAGCCAUUUGAGUAAUCUGUUCUUUGCAGGCUUUGGAGCCCUGAAUAAAAAGCUACUUCAGAAUAGGUCAAAUGGAAGACUGGCCAGUCACGGUUGCUAUGGUAACCAACAAACAUGUUUGUCUUUCAGAGGCCCUGCCCCUGAAGAGGAUGAUGGCUAUUGUUAUGAAAUUUGUGAACUUCAUCUGUUUCACCACUAUUUAUUUUCAAAGUUGCUAAUAGUAAUGAAUUACUCAUUACCUACAAACAGGCCAUCUUUGCUCAGGUUUGGUGCUAACCCUAGCCCCUAUGUUCCUUUCUCCUGUGGUCAGGGUCUGGUAUGCAGUUCUGACCUCUCUCAUAGCCUGCAGAGGCUCAUGGGAACCAUGGAAAAGCACACAGGAGUGUGGCAACGACGUGACCAGAGCCUGCGGUGUGACUCUCGCUACUGUGACUCUCAUUUCCAUUAAAAGGGGGAUAAAAAUAUCUUCCCCUGGGAUCCCUGGGUGGCGCAGCAGUUUAGCGCCUGCCUUUGGCCCAGGGCACGAUCCUGGAGACCCGGGAUCGAAUCCCACGUCGAGCUUCCUGCAUGGAGCCUGCUUCUCUCUCUGCCUAUGUCUCUGCCCCUCUCUCUCUCUCUCUGUGACUAUCAUGAAUAAAUAAAUAAAAUCUUUAAAAAAAAAAAAAUCUUCCCUACCCACCAAAUGGGGUUUUGCAAAGUUAUAUGACACUUUAGAAAUAAAACUGAUUUGAAAAUGUUUAGUGCAUUAUACUCACUUAAGAAAGAGUAGAAUUAAAAAAAAAAAGAGUAGAAUUUAACUUCUCAAUCUCCAGAUAGGAUGCUUAUUACAGAUGACUAAUAUGUUUCCCCUUAAGUAUCAAUCCUAAGUGAGUGAUAGUCGCUGCCUCUGUGUUGAGAAGGAUUCUGAGGUUAUAUCUAAACUCAGCUGGCAAUGAUAGCAAUCAUUUAGUGAUGUCUGCCACACAUUGGGGCAGGAGGAGAAGUGGCUUCACAAGUGCUGUGUAUGUGCCACCUUAGUUCAGGAUGUUCCUCCAUUGCUCCUAGAGUUGCAUUUGGAGGUGGAGUAUUCACUACUGCUCUGUAGCUUGUUUGGUCCUGGUCUGCCAGAACUGAUUCAUGGGAGAUGAAUUCCUAACAUUUCAGGCUGAAACCUAUAAUGAUUUUUGUUUUUUCAAAAAAAAAUUUGAUUUCUUGCUAGGAAAGUGAAACAUGUUUGUUGUUGGAAGUUUGACAAAUAACAGAGAAACAGACAAAAAAUAAGAACAGCUCAUAAUCUCAUCAUUCCUGGAUAACUUUAACAUUUUGGAAUGGAUUUCUUGCCUUUUGAUUUGAUUUACUUAUUUUUAAAAAAUGAUCACUGACUGCUGUGUGGAGAAUGGAUUAUAGGCACAUAAUAUGAGUGCAGAGAGACCCAUUGAAAGGCUGUUACAGAAGUCUAGGGAAAAGAUGUUGGUGUCCUGGGCUGAGGGGUAAGUGGCGGAGAUGGUGAAAGGUUGUUAGAUUUGGCAUAUAUUUUGAACAUAGAAACAAUGGGACUUGCUGAUGGGUUGGAUGUAAGGAAGGCAGGCAUGAAAAGGAUGCUGUCCAAUCUCAUUUCCAGUGAAAUGAUGAUCCAUUUACAGGGGUGGAAAAUAACAAGGGAGAAGCAGAUGUGUGUGUGUAUGUAGGGGAAAUGCAGUGGUGGAAAUCAAGAGUUUAGUUUUGGAUAUGAGAAGUUUGAGUGAAAAUUUUAUAUCCUAGUGAAGAUUUCGAUAUCCAGUUGGGCCCAGGCAGUUGGAUAUAUGGUGGGAGCCCUGGGGAGAGGAUGGGACUAGGGAUUCUAAUCUGAGGAUCAUCUGAUUGAGAGAAUGGAAAAGAGACCUGUCUAGGAAGUUAAAUAAGAUGGACAGGAAAUCUGAGACUGAGACCUGAGGCCCUCCAAUAUGUGUCCAUUGGAAAGAGGAGGAGGAGGAGGAGGACACAUGUAAGAAACUGAAGGAGUGGCAAGUGACUAGGAAGAAAAUUAGAAGAGAGUACAGUGCUCAGUAGCCAAGGGCAGAGGGUAGCUCAAGAGAAAGGAGUGCUCCCUCUCUCAUGCAUAUUUUUACAUGGAAUAUGUACAUUUUUACAUAGAAUAUGUACAUUUUAACAUAAAUAUAGUGGCUUUUUCAUUUAUCAUGAACACUUCCUCAUGCCCUUAAAAAAAAACCUUCUACCUUCUAAAAUAUUAAAAGUACCUUCUACCUUCUAAAAUAUUAAAGUAGUACAUGCCUAUGGAUGUAACCUGCCAAAGAACAUUCUUGUAUGUACAUCUUGUGUUUCCUUAGAUUACAUUUCUGAAAUGGAAUUACUGGUAGAUAUGUACAUUUUUAAGGCUUUUGGUACAUGUUGUCAAAUUACCUUUUGGAAAGGUUGUAUCAAAGCUGUGCACUCUAGCAGCAGUCAAAUGAAACCAAGUAUUUGGCAACCACUGCUACCAUGAAAAAAUCUCUUGCUCUCUCUCCCUCAGCUCCCCCGGCCCCACAUAUAUAUAAAAUACUAUCUUGGCUCCCCCGCCCCCCCCCCCAUUUGCAUGACUUGAUUAAUGGAGGUCAAGUAUGUUUCAGCAUCAGGCUUUUUGAGUGCAAUCUGAGUGGUAACAGUGUUGAUCCCUGUACCCAAACCUCCAUAGUGUGAAACUAUGAGUAUAAAUAUCACCCAAGUCAGCCAUUCAGGGCAAGAGGGCUGGGGGAUGGGGGAGAGGAACAAAGCUGGUUCUGAGCCAGGUGGAGUAGAUCUUGUCAGGAGGAGUGUGGAGUUCCUGUGGUUCCCACAACUUGCAACGCCUCCUCCCCUCCUGGCCUGACUUCCGCUGGGCCCAGCCUGGGAAAGGGCGUGGCCACUGAGGGGCAGAAGUAACUCUCCUAAGAGCAGCCUUGAAAAGCCAGAUGGGAGAGGUUGUGGAAAUCUCUGUUGCCAGUGAACAGCCCCAGUUGCUCAACUCAACAACAAGCGUGAGCCAGAGGGACACAGGCAAACUGCUGCACGGACGACGUCCUUUGCCGACUGUGUGGAGCCGAACACUGCAGUUGUGACAGGCCUUGGUCUCUGUGUGGAGACCUUAAGAAUCCUCUGCCGAGCCUUUCUGGGCAUCACUCCAGCUAAGGCGGGAAGACCCUGUGUGUUGUGAAACUGCGGCGGGGCCUGGCAUCUUUCUGUUGGUCUGCAGCAUUGCAAAGGACUGUUGCACCACGCUGUUAUACUACAGAUGUGGAAAUGGUAGAUACCGAGCUGAUAGAAAUCUCAAGAACAUGUGGGACAAAAAGAUAGGCAGAAAAUGUGGAUUGCAGCAUUCUUGUAUGUAAUAUUUCUCAUUUCAUAACGAUGCCAAUUAGAACAAGAUAUCUUAAAACAAAAUGCAACCCAAAGGGGAAGAAAAGGCAUCAUCCUCAUCCUUUGCUUUCUGGAUGGCACCAAAACUUGUAGUAUUUUCUAUGGCAGUCAAGAAAGAAUUUCUGGGAGAAUUACAAUCAUGUAAAUUACCACAGGCCCCAAAUCCAAAGUAAAUCGAUGAAAAUGGGAAAUUUUCAACAGACAUAAGACUGAUAUCCAGUCUUUUCAGAUAUUUUUCUUUUUAAAUUAUAAAAUAAUACAUUUUUGUUAUGAAUCACUUGAAUAAUGGAGAAAAGUAUAAAAUAAAGCUAGUCUUCUCUUGCUCCCUCAAACCUUGUACUCAUUCUCCAAUGGUUUGGUAUGUAUUUCUCCAGAGCUUUGUUCAUGCAAUUACAAACAUUUGCAUAAGAGCAUAUAACGUGGCCUAUGGAUAGUAUGUUUAUCAAACUGCUAGCAUAUAGUCAGUACCGACUAGUACUGAAAAAUAUGUACCCAAACGUAUCAUUUCAACAACAAAAGAGUAUACUAUACAAAUUCUACAACUGGUUUUAAAUUUUAUUUAAAUGCAGUUUCUCUUUGCCUUUUGGCAGGUAGUUUAGUUUGAUCCGUGCUUUAUUAAGAAAAUUUUUUGAGCAAAAGACUACCAAAUUCAUCCAACUAUUAUUUGUUGCCUACCAACUAAGUAUCAGGCACUAUUCAAGGUGCUGGGAGUAAAUGAAAUGAUAAAAAUCCUUGCCCUUGUGGAACGGACAUCUUAGUGGAGGGUGGUAGACAAUGAACAGGUAUAAGACGUGGUAUCAAAAAAAAAAAAAAAAAAA